rnacentral:rRNA from 1 species
GACGAACGCUGGCGGCGUGCUUAACACAUGCAAGUCGAACGGAAAGGCCCUGCUUUUGUGGGGUGCUCGAGUGGCGAACGGGUGAGUAACACGUGAGUAACCUGCCCUUGACUUUGGGAUAACUUCAGGAAACUGGGGCUAAUACCGGAUAGGAGCUCCUGCUGCAUGGUGGGGGUUGGAAAGUUUCGGCGGUUGGGGCUGGACUCGCGGCUUAUCAGCUUGUUGGUGGGGUAGUGGCUUACCAAGGUUUUGACGGGUAGCCGGCAUGAGAGGGUGACCGGCCACAUUGGGACUGAGAUACGGCGCAGAAGCCUACGGGAGGCAGCAGUGGGGAAUAUUGCACAAUGGGCGGAAGCCUGAUACAGCAACGCCGCGUGCGGGAUGACGGCCUUCGGGUUGUAAACCGCUUUCGCCUGUGACGAAGCGUGAGUGACGGUAAUGGGUAAAGAAGCACCGGCUAACUACGUG